rnacentral:tRNA from 1 species
GGAGUAGUGGCUCAGUGGUAGAGCACUUGCCUGGCAUGUGUGAGGCACUGGGUUCAAUUCUCAGCUCCG